rnacentral:tRNA from 1 species
GUUGUGGCUCAGUGGUAGAGUGCUUGCCUAGCAUGCACGAGGCCCUGGGUUCAAUCCCCAGCACCACA